rnacentral:rRNA from 1 species
AUCCCAGACUCCUACGGGAGGCAGCAGUGGGGAAUAUUGCACAGUGGGGGAAACCCUGAUGCAGCGACGCCGCGUGAGUGAAGAAGUAAUUCGUUAUGUAAAGCUCUAUCAGCAGGGAAGAAAAUGACGGUACCUGAGUAAGAAGCCCCGGCUAACUACGUGCCAGCAGCCGCGGUAAUACGUAGGGGGCAAGCGUUAUCCGGAUUUACUGGGUGUAAAGGGAGCGUAGACGGCAUGGCAAGUCAGAUGUGAAAGCCCGGGGCUCAACCCCGGGACUGCAUUUGAAACUGUCAGGCUGGAGUGCAGGAGAGGUAAGUGGAAUUCCUAGUGUAGCGGUGAAAUGCGUAGAUAUUAGGAGGAACACCAGUGGCGAAGGCGGCUUACUGGACUGUAACUGACGUUGAGGCUCGAAAGCGUGGGGAGCAAACAGGAUUAGAUACCCGCGUAC